UACGGAGGGGGCGAGCGUUGUCCGAAGUUACUGGGCGUAAAGGGCGCGUAGGCGGCGCGGUAAGUCACUUGUGAAAUCUCUGAGCUUAACUCAGAACGGCCAAGUGAUACUGCAGUGCUAGAGUGUGGAAGGGGCAAUCGGAAUUCUUGGUGUAGCGGUGAAAUGCGUAGAUAUCAAGAGGAACACCUGAGGUGAAGACGGGUUGCUGGGCCAACACUGACGCUGAUGCGCGAAAGCCAGGGGAGCAAACGGG
rnacentral:rRNA from 1 species